rnacentral:rRNA from 1 species
CAGCCGCCGCGGUAAUACGGAGGGUGCAAGCGUUAAUCGGAAUUACUGGGCGUAAAGCGCACGCAGGCGGUCUGACAAGUCAGAUGUGAAAUCCCCGGGCUUAACCUGGGAACUGCAUUUGAAACUGUCAGGCUGGAGUCUUGUAGAGGGGGGUGGAAUUCCAGGUGUAGCGGUGAAAUGCGUAGAGAUCUGGAGGAAUACCGGUGGCGAAGGCGGCCCCCUGGACAAAGACUGACGCUCAGGUGCGAAAGCGUGGGGAGCAAACAGGAUUAGAUACCCGCGUAGUCCCUGUCUCUAUACC